UACGUAGGGUGCGAGCGUUAAUCGGAAUUACUGGGCGUAAAGCGUGCGCAGGCGGUUCGCCAAGUCAGGUGUGAAAUCCCCGGGCUUAACCUGGGAACUGCAUUGGUGACUGGCAGGCUUUGAGUGUGGCAGAGGGAGGUAGAAUUCCACGUGUAGCAGUGAAAUGCGUAGAGAUGUGGAGGAAUACCGAUGGCGAAGGCAGCCUCCUGGGCCAACACUGACGCUCAUGCACGAAAGCGUGGGGAGCAAACAGG
rnacentral:rRNA from 1 species